rnacentral:lncRNA from 1 species
CUGUUCUGCUGAGGGUCUGGGGCUGAGUGGGCAGGGCCUUUUUUGUUGUAGAGAUGGGGUCUCACUAUGUUGCCCAGCCUGCUCUCAAACUCCCAGCCUCAAGCAAUUCUUCCACCUUGGCCUCUGAAAGGCUGCAAUUCCUGGUAUUCACCAUCAUGUUGGCCAUGCUUUUCUUUUCUCAUUUUUGUUUCUAGGUCACAAUACUAGUAACUGAAUCCAGGCUUACUGUAAAAUCUAAAAUUUAUAAAG